GGCCUUCUGGGUUGUAAACUGCUUUUGUCAGGGGAUAAAAAGCUCGUGCGCGAGAAAUUGAAUGUACCUGGCGAAUAAGCCACGGCUAACUACGUGCCAGCAGCCGCGGUAAUACGUAGGUGGCAAGCGUUGUCCGGAUUUAUUGGGUUUAAAGGGUGCGUAGGCGGUCCUGUAAGUCAGUGGUGAAAUACGGCAGCUCAACUGUCGAGGUGCCAUUGAUACUGCGGGACUUGAGUGUUGAUGAGGUAGGCGGAAUUGACGGUGUAGCGGUGAAAUGCUUAGAUAUCGUCAAGAACACCGAUAGCGAAGGCAGCUUACCAAGCAACAACUGACGCUGAAGCACGAAAGUGUGGGGAUCAAACAGGAUUAGAUACCCUGGUAGUCC
rnacentral:rRNA from 1 species